rnacentral:rRNA from 1 species
GACGAACGCUGGCGGCGUGCUUAACACAUGCAAGUCGAACGGAAAGGCCUGCUUUCCCUUGUGGAUUGCGGGUACUCGCGUGGCGAACGGGUGAGUAACACGUGAGUGAUCUUCCCCCAACUUUGGUAUAAGCCUGGGAAACUGGCGCUAAUUCCCUCCAGGACUGCAGGGUGGUGCCUGUGGUGGAAGACGAUUUUCUAGGGCUUGGGGAUGAGCUGGCGGCCUAUCAGCUUGUUGGUGGGGUAAUGGCCUACCAAGGCGGCGACUGGUAGCCGGUCCGGGAGGGUGGACGGCAACAGUGGAACUGAGAGACGGGGCAGACGACUAGGGGAGGAAGCCGUGGGGAAGAAGGAGCGAUGAGCGGAAGACUGAUGCAGCGAGGCUGCGUGGGGAAUGACGGGCUUCGGAUGGUGGACUCCUGUCGGCCGCGAGGAAGCGACCUGGUUGGAAGGGUGGUGACGGUAGUGGUAGAAGAAGCACCGGCUAACUACGUG